rnacentral:rRNA from 1 species
CUUACCUACGGGGGGCAGCAGUGGGGGAUAUUGCACAAUGGGGGGAACCCUGAUGCAGCGACGCCGCGUGAGCGAUGAAGUAUUUCGGUAUGUAAAGCUCUAUCAGCAGGGAAGAAAAUGACGGUACCUGACUAAGAAGCCCCGGCUAACUACGUGCCAGCAGCCGCGGUAAUACGUAGGGGGCAAGCGUUAUCCGGAUUUACUGGGUGUAAAGGGAGCGUAGACGGCAGUGCAAGUCUGAAGUGAAAGGCAAGGGCUCAACCUUUUGACUGCUUUGGAAACUGUGCUGCCGGAGUGGCGGAGAG